AAGAGUUUAGUUUAAGUUAAAACGUUAGAUUGUAAAUCUAAAGAUUCUUGUACUCUUG
rnacentral:tRNA from 1 species